AUUGAACGCUGGCGGCAGGCCUAACACAUGCAAGUCGAACGAGUGGCGGACGGGUGAGUAAUGUCUGGGAAACUGCCCGAUGGAGGGGGAUAACUACUGGAAACGGUAGCUAAUACCGCAUACCAUCGGAUGUGCCCAGAUGGGAUUAGCUAGUAGGGGGGGUAACGGCUCACCUAGGCGACGAUCCAUAGCUCGUCUGAGAGGAUGACCAGCCACCCUGGGACUGAGACACAGUCCAUACUCCUACGGGAGGCAGCAGUGGGGAAUAUUGGACAAUGGACGCAAGCCUGAUGCAGCACUGCCGCGUGUAUGAAGAAGGCCUUCGGGUUGUAAAGUACUUUCGGCGCGGAGGCGUUACUCGCAGAGGAAGCACCGGCUAACUCCGUGCCAGCAGCCGCGGUAAUUC
rnacentral:rRNA from 1 species